AUUGAACGCUGGCGGCAGGCCUAACACAUGCAAGUCGAGCGGGGUUUUCGGACCUAGCGGCGGACGGGUGAGUAAUGCGUAGGAAGCUGCCCGAUAGAGGGGGAUACCAGUUGGAAACGACUGUUAAUACCGCAUAAUGUCUACGGACCAAAGUGUGGGACCUUCGGGCCACAUGCUAUCGGAUGCGCCUACGUGGGAUUAGCUAGUUGGUGAGGUAAUGGCACACCAAGGCGACGAUCUCUAGCUGGUUUGAGAGGAUGAUCAGCCACACUGGAAGUGAGACACGGUCCAGACUCCUACGGGAGGCAGCAGUGGGGAAUAUUGGACAAUGGGCGAAAGCCUGAUCCAGCCAUGCCGCGUGUGUGAAGAAGGCCUUCGGGUUGUAAAGCACUUUCAGCGAGGAGGAAGGGUGGUGUGUUAAUAGCACAUCAUUUCGACGUUACUCGCAGAAGAAGCACCGGCUAACUCUGUGCCAGCCGCCGCGGUAAUAC
rnacentral:rRNA from 1 species